rnacentral:rRNA from 1 species
ACGAACGCUGGCGGCGUGCUUGACACAUGCAAGUCGAACGGAAAGGCCCUGCUUUUGUGGGGUGCUCGAGUGGCGAACGGGUGAGUAACACGUGAGUAACCUGCCCUUGACUUUGGGAUAACUUCAGGAAACUGGGGCUAAUACCGGAUAGGAGCUCCUGCUGCAUGGUGGGGGUUGGAAAGUUUCGGCGGUUGGGGAUGGACUCGCGGCUUAUCAGCUUGUUGGUGGGGUAGUGGCUUACCAAGGCUUUGACGGGUAGCCGGCCUGAGAGGGUGACCGGCCACAUUGGGACUGAGAUACGGCCCAGACUCCUACGGGAGGCAGCAGUGGGGAAUAUUGCACAAUGGGCGGAAGCCUGAUGCAGCAACGCCGCGUGCGGGAUGAUGGCCUUCGGGUUGUAAACCGCUUUCGCCUGUGACGAAGCGUGAGUGACGGUAAUGGGUAAAGAAGCACCGGCUAACUACGUG